GGACAGAAAGACCCUAUGAAGCUUGACUGUAGCUUGUAAUUGGGUUCGGGCUUUUUUUGCGCAGCCUAGGUGGGAGGCAUUGAUAAUUUUCUUCUGGGAAAAUUUGAGCCGUUCGUGAGAGACCACUCUGAAAGAGCUAGAAUCCUAAUAAUGAUCCUUGAAUCAGGACAUUUGACAGUUGCAGGUGGGCAGUUUGACUGGGGCGGUCGC
rnacentral:rRNA from 1 species